rnacentral:rRNA from 1 species
AUUGAACGCUGGCGGCAUGCUUUACACAUGCAAGUCGGACGGUAACAGGUCUUCGGAUGCUGACGAGUGGCGAACGGGUGAGUAAUGCAUCGGAACGUGCCCAGUCGUGGGGGAUAACGCAGCGAAAGCUGCGCUAAUACCGCAUACGAUCUAUGGAUGAAAGCGGGGGACCGUAAGGCCUCGCGCGAUUGGAGCGGCCGAUGUCAGAUUAGGUAGUUGGUGGGGUAAAGGCCCACCAAGCCAACGAUCUGUAGCUGGUCUGAGAGGACGACCAGCCACACUGGGACUGAGACACGGCCCAGACUCCUACGGGAGGCAGCAGUGGGGAAUUUUGGACAAUGGGCGCAAGCCUGAUCCAGCAAUGCCGCGUGCAGGAAGAAGGCCUUCGGGUUGUAAACUGCUUUUGUACGGAACGAAACGGCUCUCUCUAAUACAGGGGGCUAAUGACGGUACCGUAAGAAUAAGCACCGGCUAACUACGUGCCAGCAGCCGCGGUAACAC